GAUGUUUCUUUUUUGGUGUUUUGUUCAGUCAUGUUGACCAUGUGAUGAAUAAUUUAAUUUUUGAUUAAAGAAAACUUGCUUGAGUGGCGUGCUUUCAGUGGAAUUUGUAAGUUGAUUGGAACCCGGUGCACCGUCAGUUCGGUCUCGGUUUCGUAGCCGUCGGUUUUAUCUCGCCAUCAUCGCCGUCGCGUUUGAACAACGGAGUGUGGAACCGUCGAUACGAUUCCAGCGUAUUCCCACUUUUUCAGAAACGAAGCAACUACAAUCUUAAAGCAGCAGCGGGUUACCCACGACUGCACGAGCUUACAAAAAUAUAUCCCUGGAGAUAACCAACUCGAUCGAUAAAAAAGGCCAGCUACACCAUGUAGAUCAGGCAGAUCCAUCGAUAGGCAUAAAGAACACGAAGCAGUACCAAAUCAUUGCCGAUGGAAAAAAGCGGAACACGAACCGGAAUUAAAAUAUGAUGAACAAGAAAUCGAUUUGGAUUUCAGGAAACCAAGAAGGGCUCGUAACCUUGAAUGCAUGACGGAAAUCGUUCGUCAACUGGCUGUUUGCAAAGUACAGCAACAUGUCACCGACGAAUAUCAAACUUGUAUGAAGAAAUGCUGCUGCUUUCCAAACCGCUAAACCAGGGAAUUGGUUUAUAGACAUCGACUAUAUGGAGUUUUAGGUUUGACCACAUAAUAAGAAGUGCCAUCUGGUGACAGGGUCUAAUACUGUCCAUACGGCCGUCUAAGGGGAUCAAGCCGCAAUCAAGAACCGUCUAAUACCACUUUUCAAGAGCGUAUUCUACGGACGAGACUAUAUGUUGGAUAUCUACGACAUAAACCGAAAUAACACUUGCCGGUAGGUGGUCGUAAAAGUUGCAUCUUCAUUCUACAAAAGGAAGUAUUGGGAACUACAUCCUCGACUGCACAAUAAGGAACUUUGAAAUGUUACUAACCGUAUUUACCGCACAUAUUCCUUGACGAAGGUGCCGCAUAUCUAUAGACAACUGGAUUCGAACAACGGUUUAAACGAUGCCGGAAAUAUGUUUUUCGAAUUAGCGUUAGAGCUGCUGAACUACGAGCUAAAGACCAAAGUAGCUAGCCCGGGAAUUGGAAGAUUCGGGUUCGAGUCCUUCACAAUUGGGUUCGAGCUUUUUUCACAUCAUAGAUUGAAACCGCUAACUAAAUGUGGUAUGUAAUGUUUCUUUUUUUUUCUUCUAUGGCUGCUAUUCAACUUCAAGUAUUCUAUUAGCAUUUCCUCAAUUAGGGAAAAGUGGGGCACAAUCACCACCCUACACUUUGGUUCUUGUGGAAUAAUAUAAAUCCUCCGCAUCCUGCAGAUUUGUCUCUUUAGUCAUCUCUAUAUUGUGUCUUGCCUAUAAUAUAAGCAUGAAACAUAUCUCGCGCUUAGUUUCAUAGGGGCGUAACUGUAUUGAUCGAUUUCUCUUAAUCGAUUUUAUAUUUAGUUAAUAACUCAAUUGUUCCAAAAGCUACAACCAUGAUUAUUGAUUUUGGUGCAUGAUACAAUCAUCCUUUAUCACACCAAACCAUUAAAUCAUCGACAAACUAGCGCAAUUCGAUACAAUAAUAAAAAGAAAAC